GACAUAGGGGGCAAGCGUUGCUCGGAAUUACUGGGCGUAAAGGGCGCGUAGGCGGCCAUCUAAGUCAGACGUGAAAUCCCUCGGCUCAACCGAGGAACUGCAUCCGAUACUGGCGGGCUUGAAUCCGGGAGAGGGAUGUGGAAUUCCAGGUGUAGCGGUGAAAUGCGUAGAUAUCUGGAGGAACACCGGUGGCGAAGGCGGCAUCCUGGACCGGUAUUGACGCUGAGGCGCGAAAGCUAGGGGAGCAAACGGG
rnacentral:rRNA from 1 species